rnacentral:rRNA from 1 species
GCCAGACUCCUACGGGAGGCAGCAGUGGGGGAUAUUGCACAAUGGGGGGAACCCUGAUGCAGCGACGCCGCGUGGGUGAAGGAGCGUUUCGGCGCGUAAAGCCCUCUCGGCAGGGAAGAAGCAAGACGGUACCUGACUAAGAAGCCCCGGCUAACUACGUGCCAGCAGCCGCGGUAAUACGUAGGGGGCGAGCGUUAUCCGGAUUCACUGGGUGUAAAGGGAGCGUAGACGGCCAAGCAAGCCAGGGGUGAAAGCCCGGGGCCCAACCCCGGGACUGCCCUUGGAACUGCUUGGCUGGAGUGCGGGAGGGGCAGGCGGAAUUCCUGGUGUAGCGGUGAAAUGCGUAGAUAUCAGGAGGAACACCGGUGGCGAAGGCGGCCUGCUGGACUGCGACUGACGUUGAGGCCCGAAAGCGUGGGGAGCAAACAGGAUUAGAUACCCUUGUA